rnacentral:sRNA from 1 species
UCGAGCGAAGCGAGAGAACGUUGCAUCAGCAACGGCCCGCAGGGCGAGCCACGCAGUGGCGAGUCAUCCUCUAUCACCGACCA